rnacentral:rRNA from 1 species
AGAGUUUGAUUAUGGCUCAAAUUGAACGCUGGCGGCAUGCUUUACACAUGCAAGUCGAACGGUAACAGGGGAGCUUGCUCCCGCUGACGAGUGGCGAACGGGUGAGUAAUGCAUCGGAACGUACCGAGUAAUGGGGGAUAACUAUCCGAAAGGAUGGCUAAUACCGCAUACGAUCUUAGGAUGAAAGUGGGGGACCUUCGGGCCUCACGUUAUUCGAGCGGCCGAUGCCUGAUUAGCUAGUUGGUAGGGUAAAAGCCUACCAAGGCUACGAUCAGUAGCGGGUCUGAGAGGAUGAUCCGCCACACUGGGACUGAGACACGGCCCAGACUCCUACGGGAGGCAGCAGUGGGGAAUUUUGGACAAUGGGGGCAACCCUGAUCCAGCCAUGCCGCGUGUCUGAAGAAGGCCUUCGGGUUGUAAAGGACUUUUGUUAGGGAGGAAAAUUUAUCCAUUAAUACUGGGUAAAGCUGACAGUACCUAAAGAAUAAGCACCGGCUAACUACGUGCCAGCAGCCGCGGUAAUACGUAGGGUGCAAGCGUUAAUCGGAAUUACUGGGCGUAAAGCGAGCGCAGGCGGUUUGUUAAGUCAGAUGUGAAAGCCCCGAGCUCAACUUGGGAAUUGCGUUUGAAACUGGCAAGCUAGAGUGUGUCAGAGGGGGGUAGAAUUCCACGUGUAGCAGUGAAAUGCGUAGAGAUGUGGAGGAAUACCGAUGGCGAAGGCAGCCCCCUGGGAUAACACUGACGCUCAUGCUCGAAAGCGUGGGUAGCAAACAGGAUUAGAUACCCUGGUAGUCCACGCCCUAAACGAUGACAAUUAGCUGUUGGGGAAUUGAAAGUCCUUGGUAGCGUAGCUAACGCGUGAAAUUGUCCGCCUGGGGAGUACGGUCGCAAGAUUAAAACUCAAAGGAAUUGACGGGGACCCGCACAAGCGGUGGAUGAUGUGGAUUAAUUCGAUGCAACGCGAAAACCUUACCUAGCUUGACAUGUAUGGACGCUCGAU